rnacentral:rRNA from 1 species
UUACCUGGGCUUGAACUGCUGGUGGUAGAAGCCCGAAAGGGUAACGACCCGGAGCAAUCCGGGAGCCAGUAGAGGUGCUGCAUGGCUGUCGUCAGCUCGUGUCGUGAGAUGUUGGGUUAAGUCCCGCAACGAGCGCAACCCUUACCUUACGUUGCCAGCGGGUAAUGACCGGGCACGUCUAAGGGGACCGCCCGGAUAACGGGAGGAAGGCGGGAUGACGUCAAGUCAGCAUGGCCUUUAUGUCCAGGGCUACACACGUGCUACAAUGGGCGAUACAGAGGGAAGCAAAGCCGCAAGGUAGAGCUAAUCCCUAAAGUCGUCCUCAGUUCGGAUUGCAGGCUGCAACUCGCCUGCAUGAAGUCGGAAUCGCUAGUAAUCGCGGAUCAGCUACGCCGCGGUGAAUACGUUCUCGGGCCUU